CAUGCAAGUCGUGCGAGAAAGUCCCCGUAAGGGGAUUACUAAAGCGACGGACGGGUGAGUAAUAUGUGAGUAACCUACCUUGAGAGGGGAAAAACUCCGAGAAAUCGGGGUUAAUGUCCCAUAAUCUCCUCUGAUGUUACAUCGGGGGAGCAAAGCUGGCCUCUAUUUAUAAGCUGGCACUCAGGAAUGGGCUCACAUCCUAUCAGUUAGUUGGUGAGGUAACGGCCCACCAAGACUAAGACGGGUAGCUGGUCUGAGAGGAUGUCCAGCCACACUGGGACUGAGACACGGCCCAGACUCCUACGGGAGGCAGCAGUGGGGAAUAUUGCGCAAUGGGUGAAAGCCUGACGCAGCGACGCCGCGUGAAGAAUGAAGGCCUACGGGUUGUAAACUUCUUUUCUUCCAUAAGAAUCUCCAUCUAAUAAUAUUAAAUGGAAAUGACUG
rnacentral:rRNA from 1 species